CAGUCGUAACAAGGUUUCCGUAGGUGAACCUGCGGAAGGAUCAUUAUCGAGUUUUGACUGGGUUGUAGCUGGCCUUCCGAGGCAUGUGCACGCCCUGCUCAUCCACUCUACACCUGUGCACUUACUGUGGGUAUCAGAUCGUGAAGCGUGCUCUUUUACCGGAGCUUGUGAAGCGUGUCUGUGCCUGCGUUUAUCACAAACACUAUAAAGUAUCAGAAUGUGUAUUACGAUGUAACGCAUCUAUAUACAA
rnacentral:misc_RNA from 1 species